GUCUUGUCAGUGAUGUUUUCAAAAAACAAAUGUCUGAACAUAUGAUUUCCAGUGAAUUCAUCUUUGUUACUGAGACAAGAC